ensembl:lncRNA
UAUUGUAAACCUAACCCCUACCCUAACAUCUAUUGUAAACCUAACCCCUACCCUACCCUAACCCCUACCCUAACCCCUACCCUAACCCCUACCCUAACCCCUACCCCAUCCCUACCCUAACCCCUACCCUACCCUAACCCCUACCCCAACCCCUACCCUAACCGUAACCUUAGCAAGCAGUUGCUUAUCAACAGUCUGUUGAUUGUAUGACCAUCUGUAGAGCAUCUAGACCAUGUAUUUCCAUUUAUUUGGAUAGUCUAUGACUAUUGUUUGUGUUCUGUAUUUAAAGCAUCAUAAAAUAGUUCAAAGACUACCCUUGUCCUAGCCAGUGUGUUUGUGCUAUCAUGCCAUCUCCCCGUCGCUCAUAGUCAUGCCGUUUGACAGCAAUGAAGUUGACAAGAGCACAGAGGCCUGUCUGGGACCAGGAUACCCUCGUAUCUGGUAAUGGCGGUGAACACUUACACAUCCCUGUCAAGUUUAAAAAAACAAAGAAGAUCAAUACGAAUUUGCACUUGUAGACCUUGCAGGUUCAUUAUGAUGGUCAAACACUUCAUUGUAAAUAUAUACGUUCCUCCAAAUGACUCAACGACUGCUCCGUUGUCAUUCAAAUCGUGUCAUAUGAUGUAUGAUGUGUCCACUCCCAACCAUGAUUUUAAAAAAAAAUGGACUUCUAUGCCGCCUGUGUUUAAAAGGUUACUACUACCGAAACAAUCUGGUCUUGUUUUCAGAACCAGGACGACGUGGGUGUGCUGGUAUUGUGGUUAACCAGUGAUCAGAACACUACUUUUAUUUUGAAAUGUAUUUUUCGUGUGAGACAAUGCACUUCUUAAAAGAACAUGUAUGUGUUUGGCGGGUAGUGGAAAAUCUAGUCUUGUAGUCUUACAAAACACUGUAAACAUGAGUACAAAUGACCAUAAUCUUCAUAAUGUUUGGAGUGUGCUGUGUCUUGACGGUUAGUGUAGAGUUAAACAUUUGUGAAUAUGUUCCUCACCCGUCUCCCAAAAAAAUUGAGAAGCACUACCCUUGUGAAUACGGGUGAAACAUUCCAUCCUGACCCACCUAAAUGAGCCAAAUACUAGUCCAAGUUGGAGCCAAGUGAGCUAGCAUCAGAACAUACCUUCAAUAGCUGGAGCAACAGCUCUCCAUAGUGGGCUUACAAAGGCACAGUGAAACACCUUUGAAUCCCUGAUGUCAGAAGAGAGUCCCAGGGAGAAGAGAAGAAAAAAAAAAAAACUCAAAGUGAGAACUUCAAGGUAGUUAUUGAUUUUCCCACAACCCUUUGUAAUGCUACCCGAGUAGGGAUGAAAUAGGUGUCAAGACUAUUCUAGAAUCAUAUUUUUUUUUUAAAACUAAUCUUCAGGCCUGGGGAGUCACAGAACUUAACGUUUACAAUGUUGAUACCGUGAAGAGAACAAGAGAACUCAGACAUAUAUUAGGAUACCUAAUAAAGAAAGCGCCCCCCCCGAUAGAAGAAUGUGAACCGUCACCUCCUUAUUCAUGCCCACUGCUGAAACAUAACCCCUGCACCAAAACAAACACAGUGAGGGGAUUUAGACACCGUAGUCCAACCUUUACUUAUCCUACUGUUUCACUCAAUGUAUUAUUGCCCUGGUGCCUAGGAAUGUAUUGCUCUCAAUGUACUGCCUCACUGGAGACCGUGUUGAUAUGUGAGGAGAGCACUUCGGGGGGUGUAUUUAUUUAUUCAUUCAUUGAUUGACCGAUUCAUUCAUUGAUUAAUUACAAUGUACACUUGUUCGUAUUUAUUUUCUUCUCCUCUGACCUGGGAACAGCACCCUCCUAUCCAUUAUAUUAGGACUAGACAGUGUGUUUGCCCCCUCCCUGACCUGGGUACAGCACCCUCCUAUCCAUUAUAUUAGGACUAGACAGUGUGUUUGCCCCCUCCCUGACCUGGGUACAGCACCCUCCUAUCCAUUAUAUUAGGACUAGACAGUGUGUUUGCCCCCUCCCUGACCUGGGAACAGCACCCUCCUAUCCAUUAUUUUUGGAAUAGAGACAGUGUCAAGAUCCUGAGAUGGAACAAUGGUUUACUGUUGAUUGAUUGAACAAUAGUUUACUGUUGAUUGAACAAUAGUUUACUGUUGAUUGAUUGAACAAUGGUUUACGAUUGAUUGAACAAUAGUUUACUGUUUAUUGAUUGAACAAUGGUUUACUGUUGAUUGAUUGAACAAUGGUUUACUGUUGAUUGAUUGAACAAUGGUUUACUGUUGAUUGAACAAUGGUUUACUGUUGAUUGAACAAUGGUUUACUGUUGAUUGAACAAUGGUUUACUGUUGAUUGAACAAUGGUUUACUGUUGAUUGAACAAUGGUUUACUGUUGAUUGAACAAUGGUUUACUGUUGAUUGAACAAUGGUUUACUGUUGAUUGAACAAUGGUUUACUGUUGAUGGAACAAUGGUUUACUGUUGAUUGAACAAUGGUUUACUGUUGAUGGAACAAUGGUUUACUGUUGAUUGAUUGAACAAUGGUUUACGAUUGAUUGAACAAUAGUUUACUGUUUAUUGAUUGAACAAUGGUUUACUGUUGAUUGAUUGAACAAUGGUUUACUGUUGAUUGAUUGAACAAUGGUUUACUGUUGAUUGAUUGAACAAUGGUUUACUGUUGAUGGGACUGCAACACCACAGUGCAGCAGCUUUGGGAGAAUAUGCACGUCCCACAUGUUACCCUUUUGCCUAUAUAGUGCACUACUUUAGACCAGACCCUAACACCCUAUUCCCUAUAUAGUGCACUACUUUAGACCAGAGCCCUAACACCCUAUUCCCUAUACAGUGCACUACUUUAGACCAGGGCCCUAUAGAACCCUAUUCCCUAUACAGUGCACUACUUUAGACCAGGCCCCUAUAGAACCCUAUUCCCUAUACAGUGCACUACUUUUGUGCCAUUUGGGAUACAGGCCAUAUCAUGUGCUGGCUGUCGGGUGAGUUGGUUUGUGUUGGAGGCUGUUGAGGCUAAAGGUUGUGGAGGCUGUUGAGGCUGGGGGCCAGCCUGGACCUGAUUGUGUGUGUUGUAUAUCCUGUAGUCUGUUCAUUGUCUUACGUCAGAGAGCACACCGAUUCCACCUGCAACCAUCGGAUGAGGGACGAGCCUCGCGUAGAAGUGACGCCACCUGACGUAAGACAAUGGUACAACUCUGACGCAGCUGACCAUAGGUCAGGGCCCGGUUAGUUACGGUGAGGCAGAGCAGACCAUAGGUCAGAGCCCGGUUAGUUACAGUAACUCAGAGCAGACCAUAGGUCAGGACCCGGUUAGUUACUGUAACUCAGAGCAGACCAUAGGUCAGGACCCGGUUAGUUACAGUAACUCAGAGCAGACCAUAGGUCAGGACCCGGUUAGUUAUGGUAAGGCAGAGCAGACCAUAGGUCAGGACCGGUUAGUUACGGUAAGGCAGAGCAGACCAUAGGUCAGGAUCCGGUUAGUUACGGUAACUCAGAGCAGACCAUAGGUCAGGAUCCGGUUAGUUACGGUAACUCAGAGCAGACCAUAGGUCAGGACCCGGUUAGUUACGGUAACUCAGAGCAGACCAUAGGUCAGAGCCCGGUUAGUUACAGUAACUCAGAGCAGACCAUAGGUCAGUACCCGGUUAGUUACGGUAACUCAGAGCAGACCAUAGGUCAGGACCCGGUUACUUACGGUAACUCAGAGAUGGCUCUCCAUUCACACUGUAUAGAGAUCUAGCAUGUCUGUCCUAAACAAUCAAUAAAGAUGUCUUACUAUCAAAACC